rnacentral:rRNA from 1 species
UACAGAGGGUGCGAGCGUUGUCCGGAAUCACUGGGCGUAAAGAGCUCGUAGGCGGCUUGUCGCGUCGAAUGUGAAAUCUCAGGGCUCAACUCUGACAUUGCAUUCGAUACGGGCAGGCUAGAGUUCGGUAGGGGAGACUGGAAUUCCUGGUGUAGCGGUGAAAUGCGCAGAUAUCAGGAGGAACACCGGUGGCGAAGGCGGGUCUCUGGGCCGAUACUGACGCUGAGGAGCGAAAGCGUGGGGAGCGAACAGG